rfam:Vicugna pacos cont1.418324, whole genome shotgun sequence.
GAGGGUUUAUCUGAGACCUAAGAUGGCGGCGUUUGCAUAGGGUGCAAAUACUGCAGGCAUACGAGAUGUGGAAAGGCGGCCAAAGGACGAAUCUUCUAAGGAAAGUCCAGGAACUCCAAUAUUUGUGUUGUGG